rnacentral:rRNA from 1 species
GGAGGGAGCGAGCGUUGUUCGGAAUCACUGGGCGUAAAGGGCGCGUAGGCGGCCGAGUAAGUCGUGUGUGAAAGACCGGGGCUCAACUCCGUGUACUGCAUGCGAUACUGCUCGGCUAGAGAAAGGUAGAGGCGAGUGGAAUUCCCGGUGUAGCGGUGGAAUGCGUAGAUAUCGGGAAGAACACCUGUGGCGAAGGCGGCUCGCUGGGCCUUCUCUGACGCUGAAGUGCGAAAGCGUGGGGGGAGCAAACAGGAUUAGAUACCCUGGUAGUCCACGCCGUAAACGAUGGGCACUAGGCGUUGGGAGGAUUGACCCUCUCAGUGCCGUAGCUAACGCGUUAAGUGCCCCCGCCUGGGAGUACGGCCGCAAGGCUG